GAGGGCGGGUGCCCCCCGGGGAGGGCGGGGUGCCGGGAGGAAAGGCCCAACCACAGGGCGCAGUGAGCGUCCCCGCAGCGCCCCACCGGGCCCUCCUUCCUCAUUCUGGAGAACCGGCGCACUCCAUCCUCCCGGGGCCUCUGACGCCGCCUCCAGGCGGGCCCCGGGCGCACCCCUUCUUCCCCUCCGCGGAGCCGGUGAGGGGAGGUCGAGAGGUCGUGGCAAGGCCAAUAAGGAUCUUUUCCAGAAACGGGCGGAAGCCAGGGGGCUCCCGUGGAGGGGCCGUCUCAGGUGCACGUCGCCCCGACUUCCCGUGAUCCCCAAUGGGCACAUGCAAAACUGAGGCACAGGGCCAGGAAGUGAGUUGCCCGGGCGCCGGGCGGAAGAACAAGACAGGGCCCGGAGUCUGCUGUCGCCCACAGGGCCCCAGGCUCUCAACGCUGACCAGGCGGCUUCCUUCUUCCUGCGGACGAGGACUGAGUGCCCACUGUGUGCCAGGGACAGUGCCGAGCACAGCAGGGCACAAAGUGACAACACUAAGCCUAACAUUCUAGAUGGAGACGCAGAUAAGGAAAUACCUGUUUAACAUUCAAGGCUGUUGGACGACGUACAUUCCGAGCGAAAAAGACAGUGGAGCGGGGGCUAGGGCACGCUGGGUGCUUGGGUUGGGGCUUUAAAUAGGGGUCAAGGAAGGUCACCAGGAGGGGGAGUCGGACAGGCAGCCUAGGCACAGGGGGACCUUGAGGGUGGAACGUGCCGUUCAGGGACUUUCCCGACAAGGCCGUGGGGCCACCUGCCCCUGCCCCCUGGGCCCCCCGGGACCCUAGAAAUAGGACGGUGACACAUGGCUGCUUUCUGGAUGGGCACUCACAGCCAAAGGGGACGUCUUGGGUUGUCUCCAAUCCAGCAGAUCUUUGCCCUGUUUGACGGUAGAAACCCCGCUUUGAGAGGUUCUAGAAGGCUCUAGAAAGUUCUGGAAAACCCCUCCCGCUGGAGAUACACGUAAUUCGGGACACCCCUCGGAUGGCACCAGCAAGGCUCAGAGAGGGUGAAGACUGAAGAUGUCACCAGCCCCAGGAAGUGCCCAACGGUCCCCAAUGCUCUCACUCCUACGGUGUCUCUACGUUUGGGGAGUAAUUUUUGAAAAACAAAAGAACGGAUGUGGGAUAUUCACCCAAAGGAAUGCUGCGGCCACAGCUGGCGGUGAGGAUUGACGACCCACAAGGACACGCAGCACUCUGUGUCCCACAGAUGUGACACUGAGUGAUAGAUAGAAAUGACUCACCACAGUUCAUCUUGCGCAGCUCUCCGCAGAUAAAGUUCACAAAUGGAGAAAAGGAAACACAAAUUUUAGGGUAGCUUAAUUCAGCUGUACAUUUGUAAAGAAAAGCAAGGAAGCUGAAUUUAAAUAAGUAAAUUAAAAAAAACUA